rnacentral:rRNA from 1 species
CAGUCGCCGCGGGAAUACGGAGGGGGCUAGCGUUGUUCGGAAUUACUGGGCGUAAAGCGCACGUAGGCGGCUUGGUAAGUUAGAAGUGAAAGCCUGGAGCUCAACUCCAGAAUUGCCUUUAAGACUGCCGAGCUAGCAGGUGAGAGAGGUAAGUGGAAUUCCGAGUGUAGAGGUGAAAUUCGUAGAUAUUCGGAAGAACACCAGUGGCGAAGGCGGCUUACUGGCUCAUACUGGACGCUGAGGUGCGAAAGCGUGGGGAGCAAACAGGAUUAGAUACCCCCGUAGUCCCUGUCUCUUAUAC